rnacentral:lncRNA from 1 species
GAGAGAAGAUGUCAAAUCUGAAAAGCACUUAAAAGUAUGAAACAUCGAGAAGAACUAGAAGAUGGCCAAAUAGGAACAGCACUGGACUGCAGCUCCCAGCGAAAUCAAUGCCAAAUCAAUGCAGAAAGGAGCAAACUCAAGUCCUGCAUCUCAUCCCUGAUGCCCCUUCCUCAGUCUACUCACAUGAGCAUAACUCAGGAAGAAGAGCUGGUUGUUGGUGAAUGUGAUGCCUGGUAGAAGAGGCUCCUCAAGUCCCUGCCUUCUGUCAUUUAUCCAUUUCCUGUAAGCCUGGUGAGAGAAGAAGAAGAGAUGAGUCUCUGCAACGGUCCUCUCAUUUAUUGAUUGCUGUACUAAGUAUUUGAAACUGACACUAGCAGCAGGGAUAUUCAGCCCAGGCCUGGGAGCAUGACCGAAGUCGGGCAGAAACUGCCAUUCCUAACAGUGGCCACACGAGGGCGGCUCUAAGAAGAUGUGCCAGCUGGUAGUGAGCAGCCACAGCCUUCCGGCUGUCCUCUGACCAGAGUCCUGUAGGAACAACGGCCAGUAUGGAGGACCCACGGCAGACUGGCCAACUGGCCAGAGGGAAGGCAGGAUGCCUCCCUAAGGAGGUGGCCUGGCCUUUGAAUAAAGAUUUGAAGGAAAUGGGAGCAUAAACCAGGCAGGUCACUUGGGGAAGUUUUCCAAGAGAAAGCCAACCCCAGGUAUAAAUGCUCCCAGAGCAGAGCGUGUCAGGUGUGCUCUAUAAACACGAAGGAGGCCAGUGUGGCCGGAACAGAAGGAGGGAGGAAGGGGGAGAGUAGCAGGAGGUACAGGCAGAAAGAUAACAGACCUUAAGGCCAUUAUAAAUAAUUUGGCUCUUUCUCUGAGUGAGAUGGGAUGCUGAUAAAAGCUUUUGAGCAAAGAAGUGACACGAUGUGAUUGUAAAACGUCUUAAAAUCGCUACAAUAUUAUAUUUAGAAUAGACUGAAGGGGGGUAAGAACAAAAGCAGGGAGGCCAAUGAGGAGGCUAUUACCAUAAUCCAGGUGGGAGAUAGUAGUGGUAUGAACAAGGGUGAUAAAUUCCAUCCCCUGCAUUCAACACUGUAGAAAUGUGAUUAAAACCAUGAGAUUAGAUGUUAUCACCAAGCAAGUGAGCAAAGAUGGAGAGAAGAGAACAGAAAAGGUGCAGACUGAGCCUUGGGGCAUGCCAUCAUUAAGAGAUAUGGGAGAUGAGGAGAAACCAGCAAGGAUUUGAGCAACAGUGGCCCACCCUCCCCAAGACAAGCCACCACCAACCGGAAUUUGGUGUUUGUCAUUCUCAUGAAUGUCUUUACACUUACACUACAAAUGGAUGGACCUCCAAACCAUGUGUAGAAUUGUUCUGCAUGAUUUUCAACUUUAUUUAUAUAGUAUCAUACUUGAUAUAUUUUCCCAAGUUGUUUUACUUGUGAAAUUCAUCCAUGU